rnacentral:rRNA from 1 species
UACGUAGGAGGCAAGCGUUGUCCGGAAUUACUGGGCGUAAAGCGCGUGUAGGUGGUGGGACAAGUCUGCUGUGAAAGCGCCUGGCUUAACCGGGCGAGGUCGGCGGAAACUGUCCGACUCGAGGACGGUAGAGGGGGGUGGAAUUCCCGGUGUAGUGGUGAAAUGCGUAGAGAUCGGGAGGAACACCUGUGGCGAAGGCGGCCCCCUGGGCCGGCCCUGACACUGAGACGCGAAAGCGUGGGGAGCAAACGGG